AUUGAACGCUGGCGGCAUGCUUUACACAUGCGAGUCGGACGGCAGCACAGAGAAGCUUGCUUCUUGGGUGGCGAGUGGCGAACGGGUGAGUAACAUAUCGGAACGUACCGAGCAGUGGGGGAUAACUAAUCGAAAGAUUAGCUAAUACCGCAUAUCUUCUGAGGAAGAAAGCAGGGGACCAUUUGGCCUUGCGCUGUUUGAGCGGCCGAUAUCUGAUUAGCUAGUUGGUGGGGUAAAGGCCUACCAAGGCGACGAUCAGUAGCGGGUCUGAGAGGAUGAUCCGCCACACUGGGACUGAGACACGGCCCAGACUCCUACGGGAGGCAGCAGUGGGGAAUUUUGGACAAUGGGCGCAAGCCUGAUCCAGCCAUGCCGCGUGUCUGAAGAAGGCCUUCGGGUUGUAAAGGACUUUUGUCAGGGAAGAAAAGGGCGGGGUUAAUACCCCUGUCUGAUGACGGUACCUGAAGAAUAAGCACCGGCUAACUACGUG
rnacentral:rRNA from 1 species